CUUCAUGAUAUCAGUAAAAAAAAGACCAUUCGAUCGCCACCCAAAUCACGCAUGAAAAAGUUCAGUUUUCGCAGCGCAGUUGCAGAAAUCGUCUUUUUUUUAAUCACUAUAACAGACGAUAUCUCACGCACUAUCCAUUUUCCAAAAUUUGAU